rnacentral:rRNA from 1 species
GACGAACGCUGGCGGCGUGCCUAAUACAUGCAAGUAGAACGCUGAAGCGAGGAGCUUGCUCUUCUUGGAUGAGUUGCGAACGGGUGAGUAACGCGUAGGUAACCUGCCUGGUAGCGGGGGAUAACUAUUGGAAACGAUAGCUAAUACCGCAUAAAAUGGAUUAUCGCAUGAUAAUCCAUUGAAAGGUCCAACUGCCUCACUACCACAUGGACCUGCGUUGUAUUAGCUAGUUGGUGGGGUAACGGCUCACCAAGGCGACGAUACAUAGCCGACCUGAGAGGGUGGACGGCCACACUGGGACUGAGGCACGGCCCAGACUCCUACGGGAGGGAGCAGUAGGGAAUCUUCGGAAAAGGACGGAAGUCUGACCGAGCAACGCCGCGGGGGUGAAGAAGGUUUUCGGAUCGGAAAGCUCUGUUGUAAGAGAAGAAAGAGUGUGAGAGUGGAAAGUGCACACUGUGACGGUAUCUGACCAGAAAGCGACGGCUAACUACGUG